rnacentral:rRNA from 1 species
CCCUUAGAUAUUCUGGGCCGCACGCGCGCUACACUGAUGCAUUCAACGAGCCUAUCCUUGACCGACAGGUCCGGGUAAUCUUUGAAUCUGCAUCGUGACGGGGAUAGAUUAUUGCAAUUAUUAAUCUUCAACGAGGAAUGCCUAGUAGGCGCAAGUCAUCAGCUUGCGUCGAUUACGUCCCUGCCCUUUGUACACACCGCCCGUCGCUCCUACCGAUUGGGUGUGCUGGUGAAAUGUUCGGAUCGGCCGUUUGUCGCGGUUUCCGCGUCAUGUGGCUGAGAAGUUCAUUAAACCCUCCCACCUAGAGGAAGGAGAAGUCGUAACA